CUACUCGGGUCCUUCCUAUGCACAUCUUGUGGUGGCUCCUCCUUCUGCUUCUUCAUGUGCAGAUCUAUUGGUGGCUCCUCCUCCCCUCCAUAGAUCUUUAUAUUUUGCCAUUGCUAAAGAUUGUGAUGAUAAGGUUCACAGGAGAUGCAAGUACGUCUUAUGUCUAGAAAGGAUAAAUUGGUGUCCGAUUUGACCACAAGCAUAUGAUCUUUGCUCCACAAGGUUGUACUUUGAUAAGGCGUGAUGCUCUUUUUUGUUUUUGGCGGGCUGUGAGCUGGAUGUGCUAUUAGUCAUGGUGCCGAGCUUGGAUUGAGGAGACGGAUAGAAGAAGGUCAAUGCGCUUGAGGAGGCGGCAGUAGCACACCUGUGGUCCAAAUCUAGGUGAAUUAUUGUGGCUGAUCUAGAGGCCUGAUCUAGAGAACGGCAGGCCACAACGUUCGUGCAGCGGUGGCUGGACACACCAUCUGGAGGCGAGCAACGGCUGCGCUGGCAGCCGCUUGGAAGGGAAGCGAAGGCCAUGGAGGAGGAGGCUAUGCAUGGCGGAGGAGCAGGUCGUGCGCUGCCGUAGGGACAGGAGAGCUGGCGCCGGCUCCAAGUACGCCAUCGUCCAAGUUGCGCUUGGGCUUCCCUCCAGCAGGUCCACACUGUAUCUUAGGUCGUGAUCGGGCUGACAGCGGUUUGGCCACUACACUCGACCAUGUGCUCUGCAGACCUCGAUGCCCAUAUUUUCCUAGACACCAUGGCACGAGUACCGACCUCACAGGUUGAACUGAUGGAUGUUGGUAUUUUGAUCUUGCUAUGUCAAAUAGUACGAUGUAAUCUAUGGAGCUGAAGCUAUAGCUAGAUCGGUGCAUUCCAAUUAAUGAAUUGGUGCCUUCUGUUUCAGUUUCAAACUUGGA